AGUUAUGUAGAAUCCACUCUGUAUUGUAAAUAUAUAUUGAAAUAAUGACUGCACUAAAAUCAUCAAAUGUAAUAAGUAAAGAUGUCGGUUCAACUAAAGCUUUCAACAUUAUUUGUAUUUCAUUUAGUGGACAUCUUACGAAAUCAAGAUGCUUUUUACUCAAAGUUUACACAGAAAAGAAAUACACGGAUUUACUAUUAACUAAAAUACGGGAAAUAAUACCAGGGGAUAUCUUGAAAAUUAGAGCUUCUCCAGCUGCUUGGUCAUUAUGUGAUUGCAACUCAACUGUGUCAAAACAACCUCCGAAUCAAAUGUGGAUCGCGAGGAAUAGAACCAAGCUUGAAUCAUCGAUAUCAUCGACAGAAUUUUGACACAAGUUGAUUCUUUCACUAGACUAGGAUUUGGAAAACCACCACAGCGAGUGCAGAGCCCGUUCUUGCCGUAAUCAUUUCUUUGAGAAGUCAGAUCUCAAGAUAAAGAAGGUUAUACGUGGUCUAGCUAUUAAAUAACGAGACUGGUUACGAAAAAUUAUUAUACAUCCGGAUGCUCCCCUUCAAUAUACUCCCAGCCCCUCCCCACACACCUCUCCAUACGUUUUUUUCAUUGAUCGAAGCAGUGCUGGAAGUCUUCUUUGGUGAGGACCUUCAGGAGCUUCUAAUUUACCACUUCCAUCCAUUUAAAUCGGGUCCGUUCAAAAGCAGAUCUUUUUCUAACUUUUCAAGGAAAUCUGAGCAUCUUUUACGCAAGAACUUUUGGUUAGGAGUAGAUUUUUUGACACCAACUUCGUAUAGACUUUUGCCAUGUGUAAUUCCUCGUGUAAAGUUUGUAUUUAUCGACGUUUACAGCUUCGACAAUCAUCCUGAUACUCAUUCGAAAAUCUGCACGCACAAUUUCGUUGAUUUUGGUCACUGUUGACCAGUUCCCAGGGCGACAUGGGCGCUGGUUUUCACACCACCCGUCUAGAUCGUCCUCUAGGCGCGCAGUCUCGUUAUUUAAUAGCCAGACCUCGUAUACAUGAGCCUUUUGGGUGUCUUACCAACCACUGGUGACUGGUAUUUGAAUUGGAGAUGAUUAUAUAAAAUGCCAUCUCCGUGGAUAAUCCAUUGAUGCAUGUACAUACCUCAUUAAAUUAGAUUUUUGAAAGAU